UUCGAACCCUAGAGUGUCGUUGGUGUAGAGGUCUACCAACGAGGGUAAGCCGAAACCCUAGAGGUUCUGCUGUGAUACCAUGAAGCUUGAGUAACCUACUUAGGGUUUGAUAGAAUAUCAUCCCCUAUUUAUAAAUGAAGAUUAGGGUUUACAAGAUGAGACGAUUACAAGUUGAGCCCUGGGGGCAUAGACUAAUUACAAACCACAAAAGCUCAGAUAAUAAUAUAAUAUGCUAACAUCAUCAUCAUCGUUGGUCGACCACCAUAAUUCCUCACCAUCGUCAGUUCAACAAUAUGCUAUGCGAACCAUUGCUUAUAGAAUUGAGAGAGAUCCAAGGGAGAGAGAUCUCUGAUGGGGUGAGAAAGAACAGGUUUAGAGAGAAGAACAUUAGGGAUGAGAGGGAGAGAGUUAUGCAAAUUGAUGAGGGCUGGUGAGUAUUAAUUUGUGAGGUGACUUGAAGAGAGAAAUGAGGGGUUAGGGUAGGUGAUGAGACGUUUGGCAGAUCUGUGAGACAAAGAAUGAAAGAAAAAAUAAUGUUACAGUGAUAAAGUUAUUUUGUGAUUAGCUAACACGUCUUAAAAGACCAACAAAUUUGAUAAGGUGUAAUCUUGUAAACCAAAUAUAGUUUGACACCUGUAAAAUUUAUAUUUAAUAUAUAAGAUAUACGGUCGGUUUGGUUUUUACGAAUUUUCUGAUUUUCAAUCCGUUGGCCGACCGCCGAUUCGAAAAAUACAAGGUUUGCAACUCAUAGCCGACCGUAGCAGCAGUCGAAAUCAUCCAAUGUUCCAUCAGUUCGGUCAGUUUGAACGGGUUGAUCAGUUGGUUCAGUUAUUUGCACAGGCCUAGGUUACAUAUUUAGAAACCCGAUGAUACAACUCCCAUAUAUGAACUUAUUUAGAAGUUUUUAGAAUAUCAUCAUCCCAAAAUCAUUCUGCGGGCUUGUUUCCAUUUCUGAGUUGAUCUGACCAAAUUUUAACGUUCUAACCAUGUGUAUGUCCUCCAAUAUAUAAUAGAUUUUUAUAGUGUCUCUUGAUUAAUUUUGUGUGAAUUUAUUUAGAGUUAUGUUUUGUUAGAAGUGUAAUUUCGUAAACAAAGUCCCUUUUGCGUAAUGUUUGUUUUCUGUACUUUUUCCUUCAAAUGAAUGUUGCAGGCAGAAUAUAUACUGGAUCUUCAAAAGCAACUUACUUUAGUGGGAGGUGAAUCCAAGAAGGAUUCUAAUGGUACCUUAACCGAGGAGGAAUCCAUAACUAGCAUGACCCCAACGGAUAAGAUACGCUCACAAUUGGAUGAUACCAUUGCUAGCAAAUGCCCAUUUUGUGGUGACUUGAUGAUUCGAGAGAUCUCUUUGCCUUUUAUCCUCCCUGGAGAAGCACACGAGGCUGCUUCUUGGGAAAUAAGGCCACAUAACAUUGGAGCCCAGAAGAGCCUUUCUUUGGCUGUAUGAUUGAAUGCCUUAAUGGAUUUGUAGUGCAGGUUAUCAUUGAUCCAUGUGCAUGGCUGUGUUGAGGGGGUCUUUUAAUUUGUGUUUUGCUUUAUCGUCUUUAUUCUUGGUGGUAUAUGGUUUCAACAAGUUAUGAUUUGUGUUACACAGAAUGCAUUCUUUCUUUUGUUAAUUGAUUAUGUACAUUUGAGAGGUUAUAUCUACUACCCUUUAGCUAUCAGAGGUAUCCAUUACAUCUCAGGUGUACUCGAGUGUAUGUUCCUAAUAGUUUGUUGUAGGCUCAUCUACAGAAUUUUGACAGGGAUGCGUUAAUGAACUAAAUCACAAGAAUUCACAAUAGAACACUUUUCUACGAACCCAGUGAAUGUGAUUUCCAUUUGGAGUUCA